UACGUAGGUGGCAAGCGUUGUCCGGAAUUACUGGGCGUAAAGCGUGCGUAGGCGGUUCGUUGUGUCUGUGGUGAAAGCCCCGGGCUUAACCUGGGAAUGGCCAUGGAAACUGGCGAGCUGGAGUGUGGCAGAGGGGGGUGGAAUUCCGCGUGUAGCAGUGAAAUGCGUAGAGAUGCGGAGGAACACCGAUGGCGAAGGCAGCCCCCUGGGCUGACACUGACGCUCAGGCACGAAAGCUAGGGGAGCAAACGGG
rnacentral:rRNA from 1 species